AGCGAGCGCCGGCCCCGCGUCUCGUCAUCGUCGUCAUCAUCGUCGACGAUGUUCCCCGCCGCGGUGGAAAACCAGCCUGCGCGCGGCGGCUAGCUGGAAUCUUUGAGAAUACCGAGCCGACAGAGACGCUGGAAGAACGUGAUAAGGCGCGAUUCGUUGUCCAUAGGAUGUACAGCAGGGUAAGGGAGCUUGCAGGAAGGAGGAAGAAGGAGACACGAACGAUCCUUCCGCUCGACUUGAGCCAAUCGGCGGAUACAAGUUGGGUAUGUAGACGCGGUUGAAUAUACGUAUACCUAUAUAACAAACAGUUAUACCAUCCUGCGACGAAACCGGGACAUUAAUUACACGUGGCGUUUGUCAGAGGCAAAACUUAUGAUCGUCGUCGUGUGUCAAUGACCACCGUGACCCUGUUUAUUACAUCUACGUACACAUUGAACGUAUAAUUCAUUAUAUGGCAUAUGAUUAUACAAACGGCUCCAAAUCGAAGGCUACAUGAAUGCGCUGUAUAAAAACAAGGACCUUCACGGCCAGAAUGAAGGAGAACGACGCGUGACACAUUUGAGGAUAUUCGAUGUUAUUCAUGGC